UGUAAUAAAUCACAAUGCAUUUGAAUUUGAGAGGGAGCAAAAGAUAGAGAGGAAAAGAGAGAGAAAGUGAGGAAAAGGGAAGAGGUGGAGACACUGAGAAACAGAGUUGGUCAUAGAGAAUGAGAGAUUCAGAAAGUAACACUCCGGCUAAGAGAUAGAGAGAGAGGGAGCGCUAGAAGAAACAGAGACAUGUAGACUGAAAGACAGAGACAGAGAAAGAUAGUGAUAUAGUGGUGGAGAGAGCGAAACAAGAAGAGAGAAUGAUAGGGAGCAAUGUCACGGAGGGGGUUGGAAAGGUUGUCAAGCACACCUGCUCAGCCUGGGUGCCUAAGUGAAAGGACACAGUGAGCAUCGGGCACCCAGCCCCAUCCCUUCCUCCUACUACAUCUCCUUCUGCACCCCUGAGCCAGACAGAUAUAUCCGGUGGGACCGUGGCUUAAUCACUUUAUUUCCCCGUCAGCUGCUGGAGAGGGGCUGGGAGGCUGCAACCUUAGCCAAGCCUGCCUGUGUGAUCCUCUCCUAUCCCACAGGGACCACUGUGGCCCAGGUGACAGCCACAGAUGCUGACAAUCCCCUGUUUGGAAACAACACCAAGCUCAUCUACUCUAUCCUACUGGGGGAGCCCUACUUCUCUGUGGAACCCAAGACAGGCAUAAUCAUGACCUAAAUGGCCAACAUGGACAGGGAGGCUAGGGAGCAGUAUGUGCUGGUGGUGCUGGUGAAGGAUUUGCUUGGACUCAAAGGUGGUUACUCUGCCUCCACCACUGUCACCAUCAGCUUGACAGAUGUCAAUGACAACGGACCCACCUUCCAGCAGAAGCAGAACCCUCUAUCCUUGUCUGUGGUGUUGUUCAUCAAAGUGCUGGACAUAAAGGACAAUGUGCCAAGGCUUGCCAGAGACUACCAGCCAUACAUCUGUGACGGCACACAGUCAGGAGACGUACGAUGCAUCCUUCACUAUUUUCACUGAGAAUAAUGUAAUAUUGGCCUUCUGUAGAGGUAUGUGGGCUAUGGGCUGAGUCACAAGGUUUGAGCUUCGUAUCCCUGACUGACAAUACAGAUGUUAUGACAUAAUCACAGGCUAUCUAUGUUAGUGUACCUUGUCAGUUACCUUGCCUUGUCUCAACUACAGUGCCCUCAGAAAGUAUUAACACCCCUUGAACAAUUGUGUUUAUUUAUUUUCAAAUUUUGUUGUGUUACAGCCUGAAUA